UACGUAGGGUGCGAGCGUUAAUCGGAAUUACUGGGCGUAAAGCGUGCGCAGGCGGUGAUGUAAGACAGGUGUGAAAUCCCCGGGCUUAACCUGGGAACUGCAUUUGUGACUGCAUCGCUGGAGUGCGGCAGAGGGGGAUGGAAUUCCGCGUGUAGCAGUGAAAUGCGUAGAUAUGUGGAGGAAUACCGAUGGCGAAGGCAGCCCCCUGGGAUAACACUGACGCUCAUGCACGAAAGCGUGGGGAGCAAACAGG
rnacentral:rRNA from 1 species